rnacentral:lncRNA from 1 species
CUAAAUUGAUUUUGAAAUAAAUUUUUAAAAAAUAAAAAUUAUCUUCGCUAUUCUGCCAAAUACUAUAAAAACAGUAAAAAUAAUUAUUCACAUCAAGUCAAAUUAUUGUAGAUAAUUUUAAAAUAAUUGGAAAAUAACUGUUUUACCUUUUUAGAGAGGAAUAGAACUAUUCCAAUGCUAUAUUUAGCUAAUUAAGAAUAAGUAAAGUGAUAUACAAGUAUGGUUAUAUAUAUUAAUUAAAGAUUUAUAAUAAUAAUAAUAAUAAUAAUAAUUUUUUAUAUUCGAAUAAUUAAUAGUGU